AUCCAGCUGACGAGUCCCGAAUAGGACGAGAGGCGCGUCCUAGAU
rfam:Schistosoma curassoni strain Dakar, Senegal genome assembly, scaffold: SCTD_contig0010830